CUUGUUUCAGUUCGAAAUGUUUUUAUUUUUUUUUUUUUUUUUCGGAGGAGGAAAGUUCUAUGGUAUAGUACCAUUAUUAUUAUUGUAUUAAGCAAACUUGUAUAUGUAUGUUUAUUCAUGAAUACUAAUGAAGAACAUCACUUCUGGGUCAUCUAACAAAAAUGUUGUAAACACUGUACAUGUCUUCAGUUAACCUUGAAUAUUCUAUAGAGUCACAACACCAAAGCCUUGCUACAUUAUGCUUAAUUCAAUUUAUUAUCUGCCCUGCUUUUGUGUGCUAUCAUAUUAAUGUUCAUUAGUGUCACUUCCCUGCACAAUUUGUUCUAUGCUCUUUAUAGUGUAAAUAGUGACUUGACAUUAUUUAGCUCUACUAAAAUAUUAUUAUAUUUAAAAUAAAACUGUUAACAUUGACUAUGCUGUUAUUAAUAUAAAAGCUUUGCUGUGCUGCUAUAAAUGCAGUUUUGAGGUUUAGUCUAAGGGCAUCAUAGAUGAGAAAUAUAGUUACACUCCCCUUAACAGUUCAAAAUAAAAUGUUCCAUAAAUAAAGAAUCUAUUCAUAUUUACUAUUUGGUAUUGACAGACUUCACUCCAGCAUUGAGCUCAUCCCCUUAGUCUAGUUAAAACUUUAAAAUACUACUUCCCUUUGUCUUGUCUAAUGGUGAUCAUGGGGUAUCCACUUUGUCAUCUCCAUAGUCUCAGGUGUAAACACUCACUGUCCUGUUGGAGGUUAGGGCUAGGAUAUAAUCUCUGUUUCUGAUGGAACACAUGUAAAACCAAUAGUAGACCUAGACUUUAUUAACAGGUCAUGCAAACAUUUUUUAUCUGGCUCUCCCAGAGCUAUUUUUAUGUAUUUUUAUUUUUACUACUUUUGUAGGCUAGUGCUAAGCUGUAUACUUGUACUUCCCCUUAUUAUUAUAUAGGUUAGUGCAAUGCUGUUUACUGUACUGUUGACCAGUGGUCUGUAUGUCAGUUUUAAUUAUUGUGUACCUGGAACUGCCUGUUAGUUUCAAAAUUAUUUUUCUUUUUUUAAUUUUACUAUGUGUAAAUCUAUUUAAUUUUUUAGCAAUAUAUGUUACAUUAUUUUUCUAAUUGGAACAACUGUCAAAAUAAAUGACAAUAUGUUUUUAAAAAUAUGGCCAAGCUCCGCCCUGUGAUGUCAUAAUGGCCACUUCUAAUGUUUAUGUACUAGAUCUUGUCCUUAUGUUUUUUUUAGCUGCAGUGUUUUCUAACUGCUGCUAUAGUCAUUGAAAUUAAAGUCUGAUUUUUUAAAUUUC